GCUCAAUACAUGACAGCUCAGCCCCUCCACCUUGUUCCCACAUGACUCUGACUCUGUCAAGCUACUGCACUUCAGAUCAGCAUAAAGAACCUCAAACAGCAUCUGCACACACAGAGUCUGCUAUCUCUCCCAGCAAUGAGAUCUGGCCUGAGCUGCAUCCCAAGGCUGACAACAGGAUGGAACAAAAAGCUCUUCCUUCUUACCGUUGCUUUCAUCUGCAUCUUUGUGAGUUUGCCAAGGGUUCCUCAUAGUGGCGGCUACAGGCCAGAAACCAUCACCAUCCUGCUGUGGUACUGGCCUUUCCACACUCCAUACAGCCUAGCAGGGGAUGUGUGUCUGGAGAGCUACGGUAUCUCUGGCUGUCGACUGGUGGAUAAUCGCUCACUCUAUUCCACUGCUGACAUUGUGGUCUUCCAUCACCACGAGCUGAGGAGUAAAAAGCAGAAACUGCCCCUUCACCUCCCUCGCUCAGGCAGUCAGAGGUGGCUCUGGCUGUCUCUGGAAGCCCCACCAAAUAUUGGUAAUUUGAGGCGGUACUCAGGUAUCUUCAACUUGACUAUGUCAUAUCGACCCGAUGCAGACAUUACAGUGCCGUAUGGGAAACUUAUGCCCAAGGGGAAAAGUGGUGCAGCUGGAUCUAGUGACUUUAUUAUGACAAGAAAUAAGGCUGACCUGGUCUGCUGGGUGGUCAGUAACUACAAUAAACUCCACAAAAGAAGCAGAGUGUAUCAGCAGCUGAAAAACGUCAUCCCUGUUCACAUGUAUGGCCAUGCUGUAAAAAGGCCAGUGCCCCAGAGUGAGCUGCUACAUAUAAUUUCCCACUGUUAUUUUUAUCUGGCCUUCGAAAACACGGUGUCUCCACACUAUAUCACAGAGAAGCUAUGGCGAAAUGCCUACCAGGCUGGGACAGUGCCCGUGGUUUUGGGUCCUCCACGUAGGGACUAUGAAGCUGUGGCACCACCAAAUUCUUUCAUCCAUGUGGAUGACUUUGACUCCAUAGACGCUCUUGGCAAAUUCCUAAAAAACCUAUCCACAGAUGUAGAACGCUAUAAAUCGUACUUUGCCUGGCAUCAGAACAGCUCUGUUAAACUUUAUACGGACUGGAGAGAGAGGCUUUGCAAUAUCUGCCCAAUUUAUGACAGACUUCCAUACAAGACAUACCAGAACUUGAGUGCAUGGGCAAAAUGGUGACUCACAAGACCUUUACCAUGUAUUGCAUUUAAAGAACAUUAAGUGUAGCUCUUUUAAACUUAAGUUUGCACAUUCAAGAUCUUUGCACAACAAAAAAAUGUCACAUUUCUAUUUUUGUUCAGCAUGUUCUACUAUGUACAUGUAUGGUUUCU